rnacentral:rRNA from 1 species
GUGGGGAAUAUUGGACAAUGGGCGAAAGCCUGAUCCAGCCAUGCCGCGUGUGUGAAGAAGGUCUUCGGAUUGUAAAGCACUUUAAGUUGGGAGGAAGGGUAGUAACCUAAUACGUUGCUACUUUGACGUUACCGACAGAAUAAGCACCGGCUAACUUCGUGCCAGCAGCCGCGGUAAUACGAAGGGUGCAAGCGUUAAUCGGAAUUACUGGGCGCAAAGCGCGCGUAGGUGGUUCAGUAAGUUGGAAGUGAAAUCCCCGGGCUCAACCUGGGAACUGCUUUCAAAACUGCUGAGCUAGAGUACGGUAGAGGGUGGUGGAAUUUCCUGUGUAGCGGUGAAAUGCGUAGAUAUAGGAAGGAACACCAGUGGCGAAGGCGACCACCUGGACUGAUACUGACACUGAGGUGCGAAAGCGUGGGGAGCAAACAGGAUUAGAAACCCCGGUAGUCC